AAGAUAAAAGGACAAUUGAAAAUACUUUGUCGAGGAGCGCCUGGGUGGCUCAGUCAGUUAAGCGCUGGGCUCUUGAUUCCAGUUCAGGUCAUGAUCUCAGGGUCCUGAGAUCAAGUCCCACACUGGGCUCCCUGCUCAGCAAGGAGUCUGCUUGAGAUCCUCUCUCUUCCUCUCCCUCUGCCCCUCCCCCCACACCCAUGCACUCUCUCUCUCUCUCAAAUAAAUAAAUCUUAAAAAAAAAAAAACUUUCUCAAAAGUUGAAAGGUAAGGGCCCUAUAGUUUAUGUGCUCAUCACUGCUUCCGCUGUAGCCAAAAGGGCCACGUGUGCACGACUGAGCACUUUGGGGGCAGCUAAUGUAAAGGCUCUUUUCCAGAGGUCCUGUGUGUCCGCACUUGCUGUCAGUAUCUCAUCUUUGAACGAGAGGCGAGGAAAAGCACAUCCAUGAGAGAAGCAGAGAUGGGAAAAGGUGUGGUUCUGAUGAUGGUUCAGGAAGGCAAUGCCUUUUCCGUGAGACGAAAUUUUCCAAGUUCCUGGGGAAGAGGGAGCCAUUGGUCUUUGAGAGGAAGAGAGGAGGAAAGGAUGAAGACAAGAGCCAAGUGAAAAAAGCUUUGAGUGCUGUCAUUUUUUGAGGCUGGAGAAGAGGCCAAAUGAACCCUGCAUUUUAAGUCUUAACAAUAAAGCAAUC